rnacentral:rRNA from 1 species
UACAGAGGGUGCGAGCGUUAAUCGGAAUUACUGGGCGUAAAGCGCACGUAGGCGGCUUGGUAUGUCGGGUGUGAAAUCCCCGGGCUCAACCUGGGAACUGGAUCCGAAACUGCCUUGCUCGGGUAUGGGAGAGGGAAGUGGAAUUUACGGUGUAGCGGUGAAAUGCGUAGAUAUCGUAAGGAAGACCAGUGGCGAAGGCGGGUCUCUGGACAGUUCCUGACGCUGAGGCACGAAGGUCAGGGGAGCAAACGGG